UCUCCCCUAAUUUACAAUUUGAACUUUGUUUAUAAACAUGAUUCCCAUAUAAACAUUUUUGGAUGUGUUGUGUAUGUGCAAUUGCUCCAAUAGAAUGCAUUUAAACGGUUCUUAAAGAAUAUUGGGAAAAUGUAUUUGAUAUGAAUCUCCAUCUAUUAUAAAUCAUCUUGAGCCAAAAAUUGGAGAAUUAUUUACAGCC
rnacentral:lncRNA from 1 species